rnacentral:rRNA from 1 species
UAACACGUAUCCAACCUGCCGUCUACUCUUGGACAGCCUUCUGAAAGGAAGAUUAAUACAAGAUGGCAUCGUGAGUUCACAUGUUCACAUGAUUAAAGGUAUUCCGGUAGACGAUGGGGAUGCGUUCCAUUAGAUAGUAGGCGGGGUAACGGCCCACCUAGUCUUCGAUGGAUAGGGGUUCUGAGAGGAAGGUCCCCCACAUUGGAACUGAGACACGGUCCAAACUCCUACGGGAGGCAGCAGUGAGGAAUAUUGGUCAAUGGGCGAGAGCCUGAACCAGCCAAGUAGCGUGAAGGAUGACUGCCCUAUGGGUUGUAAACUUCUUUUAUAAAGGAAUAAAGUCGGGUAUGGAUACCCGUUUGCAUGUACUUUAUGAAUAAGGAUCGGCUAACUCCGUGCCAGCAGCCGCGGUAAUACGGAGGAUCCGAGCGUUAUCCGGAUUUAUUGGGUUUAAAGGGAGCGUAGAUGGAUGUUUAAGUCAGUUGUGAAAGUUUGCGGCUCAACCGUAAAAUUGCAGUUGAUACUGGAUAUCUUGAGUGCUGUUGAGGCAGGCGGAAUUCGUGGUGUAGCGGUGAAAUGCUUAGAUAUCACGAAGAACUCCGAUUGCGAAGGCAGCCUGCUAAGCUGCAACUGACAUUGAGGCUCGAAAGUGUGGGUAUCAAACAGGAUUAGAUACCCUGGUAGUCCACACGGUAAACGAUGAAUACUCGCUGU